GUUGGAAUCUCUAAUUCUAAUGUUUCAUUACCCUGCUGGGUAACAUCAUCAAUGCAGCCUCCAAUGAAGCACCGUUGUGCUUUCCUACUGGUUAUUUAAACUCUGAAGCCUGUUGAUCUCGGAACAAUGAACCAGUUCAGCGAGCCAAGCAACCAUGACAUCCACAACCUGAGCUACAAUUCUACACAAAACCUUGGAAUCGCUAACAAAGGAAAACAACUUCCCCAUAUCUAGUCUGUCAACUCCAGGAGAGGUCACAGCUAUCUGCAAACCCCUGAGUUACUGCAACAGCGGGUCCUCAUCCGAAUAUUCGAUCCACGGAGAAAGCUGCCCGUGACCCACAUCCUGGACAGUACAGGCACAAACUCUCUGGCUGUGAAUGUCCUGAGCGAAGAUUUGACAUUGGUGAUGGUUUGAGUUGUUCUAACAUCCAUCUCAACAUCAAGAUUGUUCAGAUGGCUCCCCAUAGACAUCAAAUAAAUCAUUACAGGAUAUGAACGAAAAGAAGAGUAACCGUUCAGAGAGAGUGGUCUGUGUGUAGAAGGAACUUCUAGAGGAAGUGGUGGAUACAGUUACAGUUGCAAUAUUUAAAAGACAUUGAGCUUGGUGUUGAGCAUUUCAACAGAAGGAUUUAAGAAGCAUUUGGUUAUGGAAAUAAAGAAGCCAAGCCAAGGUUAUUCUGGAAUUGGGUAAUGCUUUGGCCACUGAAAAAUGACAAAUAUUGAGACCAGAUAUGGAAUGCCUUGACCACCUUAAAGAGAACAUGGACCUUGACUCAUUUUCAUCAGUUACACUCAACUUCACAGCCAGACAGUGAGGAGGAAGGAGAUGGAGUUUGGGAAAGGAAGAUGAAAGGAUGAAAAUGAUGGAUAUCUUGGUGCAAACGAGAUGAAACAAAAGGCUAAUCAAAGACACCGGAGCAAAUAUGAUGGGUGAAGCACAGGAAGUGAUUUUGUGACAGAACUUAGGCGACAUGGUAGCUCAAAUGUUACCACUGCUGCCUCAUAGUAUCAGGGGCCUGAGUACAAUUUCAGCCUCAGGCAACUGUCUGUGUGAAGUUUACACAUUUUCUUUGUAUAUGCAGGGUUCCUACAGGUGCUGCAAUUUCCUCCCACAGCCCAAAGAUUCGCAGGUUCAGUUGGAUUGGCCAUAAUAAAUAAAUUGCCCCAGAGUGUCCAGGAUGUGCCAGUUGGGUUGGUUAGCCAUAGGAAGCACAGGAUUACAGGGAUAGGGGAAUGGAUCUAUGUGGGAGGCUCUUCGAAACAUUAGUGUGGGCUCAAUGUGUUGAAAUGCCUGCUUCCAUUCUAAGGAUUCUAAAUCAUCUUCUAUGGAUUGAUGAUGCAACUCAUGGAUUUGGAACAGGCAGAAGAAGCUGAUAAAUCUUCAAAGACAUCAUGUGUGUCAUAAACCAAAGAAAACCCCUUCAAAAUAUAAAAUGAAGAUAGUCUGGACUCUACAGUUUUUCUAUUUUAAAGAUCAGUAUGAGGUAUUCUGUUCUAGUUUAAAAUUACUUCAUUAAUAUAUUCAAAUUUAAGCAAAGCAUACUUUAUUCUGAGGAAGGGUCACUCAACUCAAAAUGUUAAUCUGAUUUCUCUGCACAACUUUUUGCCAGAUGUUCUGAGUUUUUCCAGCAAUUUCUGCUUUUGUUUCUGAUUUACAGGAUCCACAGUUCUUUCAGUUGUUCUUUAUUUUUUGCAUUUUAGUUAAAAUACAGGCAAAAUAAAAAGAAAAGAAUUAACUGUAACUCUAUUGAAAUUCUUAACAAAAUAAAAUAUAAUUUAACAAUUACAAAUGAACUGUUCCAAUACAGUAAUAUUUCAUUACAAACACCAUUCGCAAAGGAAAAUCAGUAAAAUGGACCAUCUCCUAUACAAUACUAGCAGCAGGAAAAGAAUCCCCUGCUUUUAGCUGUAACAGGGAAAGGAAUAAGAGCUUCCACACCCAGCUUCAAUACCCCAGCAACCGCAGAAAGCUAAAACUAAAAAUCCUAUUUCUGUGGGAGCUUCACCCAACCUGUUCAGGCUGCUUCUAUUGUACCAACUUAAAAAAAUGCUGUUUACUUUAUUGAGCAGACUGCUCAGUGCCUCUGUCUCAACCUUUCUUCAUAAAUUGAAAAAAAAAGGACAAAAUACACCUCUUAAAACAUGGUAAUGUCACAGGAGUGGAGACGACAAGAGUUUAGCAGAAUUGAGAGAAAAGCAAUUGUAAAUUGCAGGGCAAUGAAGUGAAGGACAAAGAUCUAGAGGAAUGUGAUUGUUCAGUGAAGUACUGAGGGGAGGAAUCACUCAAAGCAGUUGCUGACACAAUAAAUCUCACCGAUAAAACAAGCUUAAAAGGAUGGCGCUUCUUGAAGAUUGUAAAUAAAAGUCAGGAGGAACAGAAGAGAAUUGUGAUUUAUAAAGAGAAAAUCUGACAAACAAAGAAGGUGGAGAAUUCAGAACAGGGCCCUGCAACACAAACCAUUCCAUUGCCAAAAUGAUUUGAACAAAACAUGCAAUGGUAUUCAGUCCAGUAAUAAACAAGGUUUUCUUAAGUUGGAAAAAUGACUGAGUCAGAGGAAGAAGGAGGGAAGGUCAUGGUAGACUAAUGGUUUUUGGAGGAAGGGCAUUAUGUUUAUUUAUGGAGUGCCAAUGAAAGAAGCAAAGAAACAUAGAAACUGCUGAAGACACAGGUGCUGGAUAUUUAGCUUUUACAAAAGGCUCCAUCUGAAGGUUCACUCUGGAGCCAAUGAUAACAGAAGGCCAAUUUGACAACCAGCAAAGGAGUAAAGACUUAUUCAGGAAAUGGUAAGUUAUUGCAAAAUAUUGGACUCACCUGUUUCCAGAUCUGUUCUAAUAAAACAGUUCAGGCAUUUACGUUCAAAUUCUAACUGUAUUGAACAAUGACAGAAAAGGGGUUAAUAUGAAGUUGUGGUGGAAUCUACACUAUCAUUAGAAGAAAGUCUGUACUCUUGCUUUGUUGAGGUUGUAAAUUUCAUUAGCUUCCACCAUCUCUAUUGUAAUGCCACAGAGAAAAUUUAAUAAAUCUGUGUCUACUUUAUUUGACAAUGCAUUCUUCCCCUUGUAAUUUUGCAAAGCUCUUUAAUAAAAUCAGUCUCGCAUUUCA